rnacentral:rRNA from 1 species
UACGAAGGGGGCUAACGUUGCUCGGAAUUACUGGGCGUAAAGCGCGUGUAGGCGGGUGGGCAAGUCCGUUGUGAAAUCCCUGGGCUCAACCCAGGAACUGCAUCGGAAACUGCGUGUCUUGAGUAAUGGAGAGGGAAGUGGAAUUCCCGGUGUAGAGGUGAAAUUCGUAGAUAUCGGGAGGAACACCAGUGGCGAAGGCGGCUUCCUGGACAUUUACUGACGCUGAGACGCGAAAGCGUGGGGAGCAAACAGG